rnacentral:rRNA from 1 species
AACAUGUGAAUAAUUAACCGGCGGCUAACCAUCGCCGCCGUGCACCCGCCCGUCUCUCUCAAGAAAUGCUCGUCCUCGCAGACCUGUUAUUUCGGCGGACGGCGGACGGGAGAACAUAUGGGCGCAGCCCUGCGCCAAGGAACAAAUGCAGCAUGGGCGCGGCAACAUAUCCCAAAAUUUUUACGAAUUUUGCGGAAUUGUCGCCCGCUCCUCGAAAAAUUGUAGGACUCUCGGCAAUGGAUAUCUUGGCUCUCGCAUCGAUGAAGAGCGCAGCGAAAUGCGAUACGUGGUGCGAAUUGCAGAAUCCCGUGAACCAUCGAGUUUUUGAACGCAAGUUGCGCCCGAGGCCAACUGGCCGAGGGCACGUCCGCCUGGGCGUCAAGCAUUACAUCGCUCCAGUCAGCCAACAUCAACGCAACGCGCGGGUGUUGUCUCGGAUGCGGAGAGUGGCCCGUCAUGCGAUGCCGCGUGGCGGGCUGAAGAGCGGGAUGAUUUUCUCUCGGCGAUGAUCGAUAAAUGGGUGGGAUGGAAGCCCCAGUUGAUCCUCAUCAUCGCACAGCAUCGCCCGGAGGAAGCCGUAGAAAUCUCGGGAUGACCCGGCUCAGGCAAGCUGCUGCCUGAAAUGCGACCCCAGGAUGGGCGGGGUGACCCGCUGAGUUUAGCAUAUCAAUAA